rnacentral:tRNA from 1 species
AUCCCUGUGGCUCAGUUGGUAGAGCAUGGUGUUUGCAACGCCAGGGUUGUGGGUUCAAUUCCCACAGGGGGCC